rnacentral:tRNA from 1 species
GCACCCGUAGCUCAGCUGGAUAGAGUACAUGACUACGAAUCAUGCGGUCGCACGUUCGAAUCGUGCCGGGUGCGCCA